rnacentral:rRNA from 1 species
AUAGCGUAUAUUAAAGUUGUUGCAGUUAAAAAGCUCGUAGUUGGAUUUUGGGUCGCCAGGCGGGUGGGUCCACCGCAAGGUGUUUUUUGUACCGAGCCCGCCGGUGCCAUUUCGUUUCCCGAGAACGGCCUCGGGUGCCCUUUACUGUGGUGCCCGGGUCGAUUAAUUCAUUUUCGGGACAGUUUACUGUGAAAAAAUUAGGGUGUUCAAAGCAGGCAAUAUCGCUUGAAUAGUUCAGCAUGGAAUAAUGGAAUAGGACAUUGGUUCUAUUUUGUUGGUUUCUAGGACCAAAGUAAUGAUUAAUAGGGUCAGUUGGGGGCAUUAGUAUUUAAUUGUUAGAGGUGAAAUUCUUGGAUUUAUGAAAGACUAACUUCUGCGAAAGCAUUUGCCAAGGAUGUUUUCAUUAAUCAAGAACGAAAGUUAGGGGAUCGAAGAUGAUCAGAUACCGUCGUAGUCCUAACCAUAAACUAUGCCGACUAGGGAUUGGUGGAUGUUUGAAUUUUGAAUGACUCCAUCAGCACCUUAUGAGAAAUCAAAGUCUUUGGGUUCCGGGGGGA